rnacentral:rRNA from 1 species
CCACGGGCGGCAGCAGUCGAGAAUUUUUCACAAUGGGCGCAAGCCUGAUGGAGCGACGCCGCGUGGGGGAUGAAUGGCUUCGGCCCGUAAACCCCUGUCAUUCGCGAUCAAUGCCUGUCACCUAACACGCGACAGGUUGAUAGUAGCGAAAGAGGAAGGGACGGCUAACUCUGUGCCAGCAGCCGCGGUAAUACAGAGGUCCCACGCGUUGUUCGGCUUCACUGGGCGUAAAGGGUGCGUAGGCGGUUGGACAAGUCUGACGUUAAAUCCUGGAGCUUAACGCUGGAACUGCGUCGGAAACUGUUCGGCUAGAGGAUUGGAGGGGGGACUGGAAUUCUCGGUGUAGCAGUGAAAUGCGUAGAUAUCGAGAGGAACACCAGUGGCGAAGGCGAGUCCCUAGACAAUUCCUGACGCUGAGGCACGAAAGCUAGGGGAGCAAACA